rnacentral:rRNA from 1 species
UACGUAGGGUGCAAGCGUUGUCCGGAAUUAUUGGGCGUAAAGAGCUCGUAGGCGGUCUGUCACGUCGGCUGUGAAAACCCGAGGCUCAACCUCGGGCCUGCAGUCGAUACGGGCAGACUAGAGUUCGGUAGGGGAGACUGGAAUUCCUGGUGUAGCGGUGAAAUGCGCAGAUAUCAGGAGGAACACCGGUGGCGAAGGCGGGUCUCUGGGCCGAAACUGGCGCUGAGGAGCGAAAGCGUGGGGAGCGAACAGG